rnacentral:rRNA from 1 species
UCAAUAAGCGGAGGAAAAGAAACCAACAGGGAUUGCCUCAGUAACGGCGAGUGAAGCGGCAAAAGCUCAAAUUUGAAAUCUAGCACCUUCGGUGUUCGAGUUGUAAUUUGAAGAUGGUAACCUUGGGUUUGGCUCUUGUCUAUGUUCCUUGGAACAGGACGUCAUAGAGGGUGAGAAUCCCGUCUGAUGAGAUGCCCAUUCCUAUGUAAGGUGCUAUCGAAGAGUCGAGUUGUUUGGGAAUGCAGCUCUAAGUGGGUGGUAAAUUCCAUCUAAAGCUAAAUAUUGGCGAGAGACCGAUAGCGAACAAGUACAGUGAUGGAAAGAUGAAAAGAACUUUGAAAAGAGAGUGAAAAAGUACGUGAAAUUGUUGAAAGGGAAGGGCAUUAGAUCAGACUUGGUGUUUUACGAUUAUCUUCUCUUCUUGAGUUGUGCACUCGUAUUUCACUGGGCCAGCAUCGAUUCGGAUGGCAAGAUAAUGGCAGUUGAAUGUGGCUUCACUUCGGUGGAGUGUUAUAGCUUCUGCUGAUAUUGCCUGUCUGGAUCGAGGGCUGCGUCUUUUGACUAGGAUGCUGGCGUAAUGAUCUAAUGCCGCCCGUCUUGAA